rnacentral:rRNA from 1 species
AUGGAGCAGUUCCAUCACGGCCACCACGUGCGGCUGAGCAGCCGCGUGCACGGCUUGUACCUGCACGCCGACGAGGACGGCCAUGGCGUCUCCCUCCGCCACCGCCGGGAUUCGACGAACGUUGUGUGGGCGGUGCACGUGUACGAUCCCUACGUCGAGGAGGGGCGCGUACUCCUCCAAAGAGCCGCCUACGGCCGCUACCUCGCCGCCAGGGCCACGGUCGCGCCGGCGCCCCGCAGCCACCGCAUCAUUCAGCGCAACCACUACCAUCCGGGGUUAGUGGAGAUUAUUUGGGAGGUCCACAGGUCCGGGUUCGAGGGCGACGUCGAACUCCGCCUCCGCCACGCCGGCGCCGGCGCCGGCUACCUCUGCGCCGCCAACGGGAGGUACCUCCGCUGGAAGGCCAAUGGCGUCAGCGUCGACAGCAUCGACAACCUCAGCGUGAUGAUGCACUGGGUCGUGGAGCCCAUCUCUGCCGCUGCCGAGGGGAGCAUUCCUCGCCUUCCACGUCAGACUGGGCUCCCCCUCCCCGGAAGCCUGACUAGACUGUUGCGAUCGCGGGCGAUCGAAUGCCAGGAGGUGAGCGCCGACGGGACCCGCAUCAGCCACGGCGCGUUCGAAUUCAGGGGGAGGUCCGUAUUCCGCCUGAGGAAGAAGCUGGUCAGGCGGCUGCGUGUCGCCAACCUCGUCAUGUGCUUCCCCACACGUGAUGGUCGGCUUUUUCUACUCCUCGUCGACCUCCUGCCCACCAGCGGCCCGCUCUUCCACAUCGUCGUCGUCACGCCCGGGACUCCUGGUAAG